UACGUAGGUGGCAAGCGUUGUCCGGAUUUACUGGGCGUAAAGAGCGCGCAGGCGGUCGAUCAAGUCGCGUGUGAAAGCCCCCGGCUCAACUGGGGAGGGUCACGCGAUACUGAUCGACUCGAAGGCAGGAGAGGGUAGUGGAAUUCCCGGUGUAGUGGUGAAAUGCGUAGAUAUCAGGAGGAACAUCAGCGGCGAAGGCGGCUUCCUGGCUCAUUACUGACGUUCAGGUACGAAAGCGUGGGUAGCAAACAGG
rnacentral:rRNA from 1 species